AUUGAACGCUGGCGGCAGGCUUAACACAUGCAAGUCGAGCGAGCGGCGGACGGGUGAGUAAUGUCUGGGAAACUGCCUGAUGGAGGGGGAUAACUACUGGAAACGGUAGCUAAUACCGCAUACCAUCAGAUGUGCCCAGAUGGGAUUGGCUAGUAGGGGGGGUAAUGGCUCACCUAGGCGACGUUCCCUAGCUGGUCUGAGAGGAUGACAAGCAACACUGGAACUGAUACACGGUCCAGACUCCUACGUGAUGAAGCAGUGGGGAAUAUUGAACAAUGGGCGCAAGCCUGAUGCAGCGAUGCCGCGUGUGUAAAGAAGGCCGUCGGGUUGUAAAGCACUUUAAGCGAGGAGGCGUUACUCGCAGAAGAAGCACCGGCUAACUCCGUGCCAGCAGCCGCGGUAAUUC
rnacentral:rRNA from 1 species